AGAGUCAGUGCGGUGGCGGCGGCUUCUCUUCCAUGGAAGGAAAAGUGAAAGCGGCUGCCGGCUGGGGGAGUGGGCGGCAGAACUCGCCGCAUGGCUGCUGCUUCACCAGCCGCAGCGCCUGUCACCGAGCGGUGCAGAUCCGGAUCUCAACUUCCAGAGCAACUCCGCUGCCCUCACCCAGACACAGCUGCGACACGCCCUUAGGCUCAGGUCUCCAGUCCUGGGCUCUAGGCACCCGGGAUGUCCACCCUCAGCUCUGCCAGACCACCCCACCUCCAGCUCAGCGCGCCGGCCCCCGGGUUGGCCCGCGGGUCUCUAGCUCCCUGGCUUCCGAUCAGGACGCGCGCGCGAAAGGGAGUUCGGAGCCCCCAACUUCGGCUUCCCGGUUGACACGACGCCCACCCUGGAACACAGGCCCACCUCUGCCGGCCUCCAGCGGCGGUCCUUACAGGCAAGCAACAGGAAGAUGAAAUGCCUAGCGAGGGGUGCUGCCCUGGAUUUGGAAAAAUAGCCUCAGUUGCCUCGGGAGCGCCUGAAUCCUCCAAUCCGCACCCUCUGGCCAAAUGAUUUUCAGCCUGGGACGCGCCUUGGAGGAGGAGACCGGGCGCUGGAUCCUGAGAAGAGGAACCAACAUCGCUGAGUUGCUGGAGUGCAGCCGCGCGCCGCUGGCGGCAAGGGGCGGUGAGGCUCUGCGGCUCGGUGGGGCAGGGGGAACCGGCUCCUGCGCCUCUGCCUCCCGGAGAAAGAUACACACACACACACACACACACACACACACACACUCACACACACACUGACAAGCAGUCUUCAGCUCCCCCACGCUGCAAGCCGGAACGCGGAGGUCAGAGUCACUCCUCUUUAAGGCAGUAGCUGAAAUGCCGAGAUGGUGGCAGAUGUUGUGUCCUCACCUCCAAGGCUAGCACCUUCCCAGGAGACCCCCUGAUCCCCCAGAGCAAGCUAGCUCUGGCUUCCAAGAUUCCGCUCUUUGGGCAAGCAGUUCGAGCUGCAAGGGGGCGGGGAUGAAUACGGAGAGAGCUCUAAACCGCAAGUCCUUGCUCACCUCCCGCCCUAGGGCGCAGAGAACUGGCCAGCCCCACUCUCCUCCAGCGCCCUACUAGGCUGCCAGGGCCGGGGAACGGGACCCUCAGGACAUUCCAACUCUGGUAAGGGCGAAGAGGGGAGUGACAGCAGCAACCACUGCGCGCGUUGGCAAAGGCACUGAAUCUCCGAAUAGGCUAAACCGCGGGCGCGGAGGGGUGGAGGCAAGAGGGGCGGAGGAGGAGUUGCCAGAGCUGAGAGGGAUGACGUCCUCCAGAGCCUCAGGCUCGAAGGGACAGAAGAUUCGUGUGCUAGCCUGGUCCCGCGCGCUGGCUCGGGGGUUCUCCCAGGCGCGGCUCCCGGCUGCGGCUGCGGCUCCAGCACGGCGCACACGGGUAGGAUCCCGGCUAGGAUCCCGGCUAGCUCUAGCCAGGGCGCAAGCCCUCCUGUCCCCUAAAACCACCGCUCCGUCAGCCCCUCGCCACGGGGUGCCCACCCACAAGACCUUGCCUAUCCCGGGCAGGCCUAGGCAGGCAGCCCCCAGCCGGUCUGGCCUCGCCCCUUCCUUGCUGUCUUCCCCGUCGACCUCAAGCCAAGGGCAGGCGCCCGCUCCCCAGCCCCUACCCACGAGGUGAGCCGGCGCUCCCGGCCUGCGCCCUGCUACCAAGAAAGAUGGGACAUUGUAAAGGAAAGGCGCUCACCUGGGUCUCAGAAGCCUUCCUCUCCCUCUCUUCUCGGAGCCUAUUCCCAGCCCCCAGACACAACCUUCCUUGGAGGGGGAAAAAAAGUAGCGCACGGGCAGAGAGAGGUAGCGCUGCUUACAAGUCCCUGCACAGCGGCUUUUUCCUUCGGAUUCUCCUGGGUCCAGUCUUGGUCUUGGCGGCGGGAAAGGGCUCCCGGAGGCUAGAAGGGGCCGCCAGAUCCUGGCUUCUCCCGCAGCGGUGGCCGCGGCCCCUCCAAGUUGCCACCUGCGGCGCGAGUCGGGCGCCUGUGACAGCCCGCGCCGUUCAGCCCGUGCGGGCCCGCCCUCCGGGUCCGCUCGUUGGUUGUGCCGGGAGAUCGGGCGGUCCUUGCACUCGGCCCCGCCCCGCGCCCGCCCCGGAGUGGCGCGUUCCCUAGAGUGAGUCUCCUUCCUGGCCUCCCUGGGCUUUAUAGCCAGCAGGCAAUGCCAUCUGGAGAGAAUCAGACAGGGACACGCACACGCGCGCGCGCGCGCGCACACACACACAUUUGUGUAGCUAGGGGCUGGAGGAAAAAGAGUAAGUUUUAACAAAUGUCUCUUCGUGUACUCUAAGGGGACUGGGCAACUUGGAUUCUUUUGCUGGUAUUGGGGAUAUGGGCUAGAAGGUGGUUUGGUUCCUUUAAGUUUCACCCACUCCACAAUAAACGCUAAAUAUGAUAAGCAGCAUGGAGUCACCACUCUUCCCUCUCCUACCUACACUCUUCCACCUACACCACAGUAGUGGAGGAUCCUUAGGUUCCAGCACUCACAAAGCCAUCCCCACUUUUGCUCUCCAGGUUUCUAGGCCUGAAGACCAAAAGCUCAUCCUCCACGUGCUUGCUUGAUUCUGUGGCCUCCAGAGUCCAGG
rnacentral:lncRNA from 1 species